UGGGGAAUAUUGCACAAUGGGCGCAAGCCUGAUGCAGCCAUGCCGCGUGUAUGAAGAAGGCCUUCGGGUUGUAAAGCACUUUCAGCGGGGAGGAAGGCGGUGAGGUUAAUAACCUCAUCGAUUGACGUUACCCGCAGAAGAAGCACCGGCUAACUCCGUGCCAGCAGCCGCGGUAAUACGGAGGGUGCAAGCGUUAAUCGGACUUACUGGGCGUAAAGCGCACGCAGGCGGUCUGUCAAGUCGGAUGUGAAAUCCCCGGGCUCAACCUGGGAACUGCAUUCGAAACUGGCAGGCUAGAGUCUUGUAGAGGGGGGUAGAAUUCCAGGUGUAGCGGUGAAAUGCGUAGAGAUCUGGAGGAAUACCGGUGGCGAAGGCGGCCACCUGGACAAAGACUGACGCUCAGGUGCGAAAGCGUGGGGAGCAAACAGG
rnacentral:rRNA from 1 species